rnacentral:rRNA from 1 species
GCCUAUCAUGCAGUCGAGCGAUGAUUGAAGAUAGCUUGCUAUUUUCAUGAAGAGCGGCGAACGGGUGAGUAACGCGUGGGAAAUCUGCCGAGUAGCGGGGGACAACGUUUGGAAACGAACGCUAAUACCGCAUAACAAUGAGAAUCGCAUGAUUCUUAUUUGAAAGAAGCAAUUGCUUCACUACUUGAUGAUCCCGCGUUGUAUUAGCUAGUUGGUAGUGUAAAGGACUACCAAGGCGAUGAUACAUAGCCGACCUGAGAGGGUGAUCGGCCCUGGG